CUGCAUUACUUAGUCUUGUGCUGAUUCACAGAAUGACAGAAUGGUUUGGGUUGGAAGGGACAUUAAAGAUCAUCUCAUUCCAACCCCCUGCCAUGGGCAGUGAUGCCACCCACUUGAUCAGACUGAUUCUCAGGAAGGAUCCUCCUAAGGACCAGCUAAGCUCUGUUAUCCUUUUUCCAUGUCUCCCCAGAAAUAGGCAGAUUCCAGGUGCCUCAGAUGGGUGCCCAAAGCAUCUGGAACAACAAAGAGAUAACAAGCUCUUCUUCACACUGCAGUGGCUCCUUUCUAUUCUCCCAGGCUUCACAAAAAGAAGCAGUGCAGGAGCAGAGAGCAGCCCAGGACACUCACAUGCUACAGCCAGCAGCUCUCUAUGCCUCUCAGCAGCUUCACAGAGACCAACCAAUCUCCCCUCUGCAAAUGGUCUGCAUCUCUCCUGCUGACAGUUUCCCCCUUCUAAUAGGUUGGAGAAAGCGUGAAUUUCUCAAACCAGACACUCAAUAGUUCUCAAAAUCAAUGCCAAAAAUCAGAUUUAUCUAGCAGGAGUCUUGGAAACGGCGACGCAUCCAAUAACAGAUAAGAAAAACAUGUACAUUUUGUGUUUUAAUAUCACCUAUGUAAAAAUCUGUGUGAUCACAUAAUGCAAACAAGAGGAGCCCAUGUGAAAUUUUUCUAGUCCGGGCUUGGACUGUGAUCAGCUGAGGUGUCACGCAUGUCGUGCUGCAUUCCCAAAAGGUGUUGUUAAUGCUAACAGCAAAAAUCACUCAUGAAGUUAUUUUCCCUUUAUCAACUUGGACUACGCUUUGUAGUUGCCAUUCCUAAUAUUUAAGCAGUAGAUAAUGGCUGAAUUUGUCUGCUCUGUGCGUUCACAUCUACCCCUUCACACACACACAUCCUCUCUGAGACCGUAAGUCCAUGUGCACUUGCUCCUGGCUGUGAAAAAUCUUAACAUACCAUCCAAUGGCAUCUGAAUCUAGGAUUGAACUCAACUGUGCUAGUCUACGAACAGUACCACUAAUUUCCAUUUAUUCCAUACCUUCAAAACAAGGCUAAGAAAAAAUCCAGCAUUUGAACUUCCUUAUUCCUACAAUGCCAGGAGAUAGCACCAGUUCAUAUAAAAGCACUGAAGUCAAGAGGGUUCUACCUAGCAUAGGUUAGGUUCUUAGGUCUCCUUUUAAGCUACAGUGCCCAUCUCCCCAUCAUAUGAAUUCAUAUCUAGCGGACAAGCUUGCCCCUUUUUGUUGAUCUGCUUCCUCCUUUCUUUUCACUCUGGUCAGCUGGUGGUUCCUCUUGUGCGAUUAGAUUUGGCAGGUGCAAGAGAAU
rnacentral:lncRNA from 1 species